rnacentral:rRNA from 1 species
GUCCAAAAAAUGAAUCUUAGUUCAGCUUUAAAGAUACCAAAAAUAUAAAUAAAUUCACUGUAUCUUUAAAAGUUAGUCUAAAAAGGUACAGCCUUUUAGAAACGGAUACAACCUUAACUAGAGAGUAAGAUUUAACAACACCAUAGUAGGCCUAAAAGCAGCCACCAAUUGAGAAAGCGUUAAAGCUCAACAAUAAAAAUAACAUUAAUACCAAAAAUGAACAACCAACUCCUAGCCCUAAUAUUGGACUAUUCUAUUACCAAAUAGAAGUAAUAAUGUUAAUAUGAGUAACAAGAAAUAUUUUCUCCUCGCACAAGUUUAAGUCAGUAUCUGAUAAUAUCCUGACUGUUAACAGUAAAUAAAAAUAACCUAACAAUAAAUGAUUUAUCAAUUGUACUGUUAACCCAACACAGGAGUGCGCCCAGGAAAGAUUAAAAGAAGUAAAAGGAACUCGGCAAACACAAACUCCGCCUGUUUACCAAAAACAUCACCUCUAGCAUCCCCAGUAUUAGAGGCACUGCCUGCCCGGUGACUAGACGUUAAACGGCCGCGGUAUCCUGACCGUGCAAAGGUAGCAUAAUCAUUUGUUCUCUAAAUAAGGACUUGUAUGAAAGGCAACACGAGAGUUUUACUGUCUCUUACUUCCAAUCAGUGAAAUUGACCUCCCCGUGAAGAGGCGGGGAUAAACUAACAAGACGAGAAGACCCUAUGGAGCUUUAACUAACUAACCCAAAGAAAACAUACUCAACCGCCAAGGGAUAAUAGCACUCUUUAUGGGCUAGCAGUUUUGGUUGGGGUGACCUCGGAGAACAAAAAAUCCUCCGAACGAUUUUAAAGGCUAGACUUACAAGUCAAACCCAAAUUAUCGCUUAUUGAUCCAAAAACUUGAUCAACGGAACAAGUUACCCUAGGGAUAACAGCGCAAUCCUAUUCAAGAGUCCAUAUCGACAAUAGGGUUUACGACCUCGAUGUUGGAUCAGGACACCCCGAUGGUGCAACCGCUAUCAAAGGUUCGUUUGUUCAACGAUUAAAG